rnacentral:rRNA from 1 species
GAAUGCCGGUAUGAGUAGCGCAAGAUAAGUGAGAAUCUUAUCCACCGUAAGACUAAGGUUUCCAGGGGAAGGCUCGUCCGCCCUGGGUUAGUCGGGACCUAAGGCGAGGCCGAAAGGCGUAGUCGAUGGACAACUGGUUGAUAUUCCAGUACUAGAUAUGAUCGUGAUGGAGGGACGCAGUAGGCUAAGAGAUGCCAGUUAAUGGAUUCUGGUCUAAGCAGUGAGGUGUGAGAUGUGUCAAAUGCAUUUCUCUUUAACAUUGAGCUGUGAUGGGGAAGCAACUACGGUUGCGAACUCUCUGAUGUCACACUGCCAAGAAAAGCUUCUAG